UUAAGAACGACGCUAUCCGGACCAUGGGUACCGUAAAUAGCCGAUAUUAUAGCGUGACGGUAGCCGGGCCAGGAAAUAUUUUCGAUAAAGUGCGGAAACCUACCAACAAAUAUUUCUAACGAUCAUUUUAGGAAAUUCGGAAAGGCCGAAGAAGAUCGGUCGGAUUAGGUUAAAUUAGUUAUAUGGCACCGGGGAUGUUCUAUAUCUGGUGGCAGCCACUUAAAGAACCGGAUGAUCGAAGUAUGGGAUUGAAGGGGAGGGCCCGGAUCCCUCCCGAAAAACUGGAGGUGUGGGACCCCGGAUUUGAACCCGGUCUCCCGGAGUGGCCAGCCACGGCUUUAUCACCCGGCUAUCCGGCCGGCCAAGACCGGUACUCCAAGCGAUUCGAUUCCGAAAAACUGGCGCGGUAGAAGGG
rnacentral:lncRNA from 1 species